AUGUACAUAGUGGGUUUGAUAUUUCUUGAAUUUUUAAAUAUUGGGAAAUGAUGGGUUUAAUUAUUGCAAUUAAUAGGGAAAAGCGUGUGAUUUAAAUUGAAUGUACUUCAAUGUCAGUAUAUAAAUUGCUUCGAUAGCCGAAAGGAAAAGCUACCGAUAAAAGUUUUGGGGAUCAUCAUUAACAUUUUUUUGUAAACAAAUUCCUAGUGAUCGGGUUUUAGAAAAAAAAAAUUAUUAAAAUACAAAAUAAAAAUGGUCAAUUAAUAACUUUCAUUAAUUUAUUACUCUACCAUUUCUACAUGCUGAUUUAGUCAUUAAAUAUGCAUAUAGAAAAGUUGAAAAACGUUUUGAAGAAAGUCAACUGCACAAAAAAAUUCUAUAGAGUAAGAAAAAUGAAAAAAAAAAGACCAAAGAAAAAAAUGACAUCCAGCAAUUAUGGCAUUUGUUUUAAUAAUUUCCAAGAGCUGCAUAACCAGAUAGAUAGUAUAAAUAAAAUUAUGAGAGACCAUGUACUGGAAAUAACAAUUCAGUAAACCGAUUUACAAUUCAGUAAAGUGAUUUGGAGUUACAAUUGAAAUUAACUGAAAUUAGAUUGCCCCAAAUAGAUUCUAGAGGUAACCCCGAUUGUGAAACCGAUGAGCUUCUUAAUGUUUAGAAAAUGGACCUUAAAUUACAUGCAAAUAGGAAAUCUCUGUUUUAUUUUCAAUCUCAAAAUCUAAGCAAGCUUGAACCUUGAGAAGACAUAUUCAGGUUGUAUUUUUUUAUUUUUUUUUUCGAAGGAACAGCAGACAGUUAAUUGUAAUUAGGCG